AUCCUUUUGUAGUUCAUAAGUGUGAUGAUUGGGUUUUUAUGCGCAUGCAUGAGAUGUGCCCCCCACAAAUCUUGUUACGACGUCGGCAUUACUUGUCUGACA
ensembl:snoRNA